AUGCAAACAAAACAAUGGAUUAUUUACCAAGAGAUAUGGAUGUAUGAACUCAUUUCGAUAAAACACUUCUGGUCUACUCUAGAGUUUUUACCCUGCAGAAAACUGACGAGCAACCCAAACCACCAACAGACGAGGAAGAUGAUGCUUUUACAGAUGCUAAAUAUAAGCAGACUAUACAGAUGCUCAUCUCGGCCAAAACUCACUACAACACAACUACACUACAACACAAACACAGCAUCACAGUUCAUCACUUUACUUAGUACUUCACUCAGGAUGUAAAGACACACAGGAGUAACUGAUUAUUUCUUUUAACAUGCUACACAUUUCUUUUAAUAUUUCUAUGUUUUGUAGUAACCAAUAGAAGCUGAAGGAAUGGCAGACAUUACUCAGACACCUGUGAACACUGAGCAGUGGUUGGAGUCCAAAACAGUGAAAUCAUCUUUAUUAUACUUCUGACUGAACUAGCAUCGAGCAUUAGAGACAAUGAGAACGUAAGUUGAAGUAAAAUGUUUGCAUUGACCAUUUCACCGUGUUAUUUUUUGCAGUAACUGCAGGGAAUAUUAAUUGAAGAGACCUGAUCAGCAGCAAGCUUUGGAUCUACUGAAUGUGUAUUUUUCAAGCAUUUUAUUGCAGGGUUCACUGUUAUUUUUCUGCAUAGCGAUGACUGGUGAAAAGUGUUUAUUAAUUUACUUCAAUGUAUAGUUAACCAGAAUUCUGUCUUUUACGUUUCACCAAACCUCUGACUUUUGUUUUUCUGCAGAACUCAAAAGAAGAUACUUUGAUUGAUUUUCAUAUUUUGGGUGAACUCUCUUUAAUUAGCAUGCUACACACUAAAUAUUAAUCAUGCUGGGCACAGCCACUUAUUGUGCUGUCACUGCAGUUGGUGCUGUAAAUAGUCUGUCAAAUAACAGGUACAUUGCUACAACAUACAUUUAAUGUAGUUCACAAUGAUGCAUUACGUUAGACCUUUACUAAUAGAUACUUGUAUAUUAUUUGGUCUUUACAGGUGCAGAAAUAAAAGCUCCCAAUCAAAGAAGUCACCGGAUUAAGAUGUGGAAAGACAUGUUACACCACUGAAACCAUAAAUCCUGAGUAAUUUGAAUAUGGGAAACAACCGAGGAAAAGUACCCAUUGUUUUACUCAGAAAUGAUUCAUGGUGAUAGUAAUAGUAAAUGAUUAGAUAAAUAAAUAAAAAGUACAAAAUGGUUUUAAUUUUAAAACUCUGCCAUUUACUAAUGUGUUAUUCAAAACACUAAGUUUUGGUGUAUCUUUACAAUAAGGUAUCAUUACUUAAGAUUAGUAAAUGUGAAAUUAACAUUAAAUAACAAUGAGCAAUACAUUUGUUACAAUUUGCAUUAAUUUGUGAUACUGUUAAAAAGCAACAGCUGUUCUUUGUUAGUUCAUGUUAGUAGUAUUAUCAUAUCCUAAGUGUCAGAUUGGUGAUUUAUUACCCUGAUUUAUGGCCUGAGUUAUGGAGGGUCCAGCCAGCGUUGAUUGACAGGUUGUGAUAUGUCCAAUGUGUACAUGGUCAGAUUUAUGUGUUGAUUUAUCGCUAUAUGGCCUGUCUGUCACAGUGGUUGCCAUGUCACUGGGGUGCUGUCACCCUUGUUUGACAUGACAGAGGUGUGUGUAAAAUCAAAAGAUCAAAACAGAUCUCAGAUUUGACUUGUGUUGCAUUUAUUACUGGAUAUAUGAUGGUUGUAUCUGUAACCAGAGCUGUGGAGGUUUCUGUGGACUUCCUUCCUGAGCAGUUACUCACUUCCAGUCAGGAGGAGGUGUUUGGGUUCUUCCUGGAAUAAAAUGGCUGAGCAAAAGUGAGUGUAUUUACACCUUGACAAGAUCAAUGUUUGUUUGAUCUAUAUGGUAUAUGGUAUGUUGGUAUGGUAUGUUAAUACCAGUGUGGCUACCGACUGGUCUACAUCUAGCCCUAAGCAAGGAGGUUGUCUGGGCCUCUGGCUUCCGUGUUUGUGUUUUAGGUCAACACCUUUGGUGGAUUGGUUUCUAGACACCAGAACCCAAAGCUUCUCCCCUGUCUGUUUUCCUCCUGUGAUGUAGUCUGUGUCCGAUAUAAUGUUUUAGUAUGUUUGUUAAUGGGAAUGUGGUUUGUUUGGGGUUGGAGGAUAUCCAGACACGUGACCAUCGCAAACCUCUAAAUGGUUCAGUUCUGCUUGAUCUAUAGGCUCAAUAUUGAUAGCUAAGCCAUCACUGUUUUGAUUGUUUGCAACAAUACUGGAAUGCUCUGGCAAAAUGAAUGUACAACAUAUUUUCCAUGUCAAUAAAGCACCUGAAAACUGAAACAUAGAAUUAAAGAGCUCACCAAGAACAUUACCCAUCACACUUUUUAUAUGCUUCUGAAAAGGUGUUAUGUUUGAGCAUGUUCUUUCUACCUCAUCUGUAUGUGUGUAUGCUAACACCACUGUAGGAUCAGUACAACCUAAUCUGUAGGUUGAAUAGAUAAACUUAUGAGGAGUCUUAAGUUAAAAAUGAUUCAACAUCCUUGCUCACCGACUCUAUCCACCAAAUCCACCUCACCUAACAAUUUACUUCUGACUGUGAAGGUGUCUAACUGACAGUGGGUAAUAGUAUCUUCUACGUGCUUGUGUUAAUGGCUUUACAACAUCCACCUCAUAUUAUGCGCACAGAAUCAUGCUUUAGUUCAGUUCAUUUUAUUUAUAAAGCACAAUAAAAACAACAAUUGUUGACCAUGGUGCUGAACAAUAUUGUUAAAAGAA
ensembl:lncRNA